rnacentral:rRNA from 1 species
AGAGUUUGAUCAUGGCUCANAUUGAACGCUGGCGGCGUGCCUUACACAUGCAAGUCGAACGGCUUCACGGGAGCAAUCCUGGUGGUGAGUGGCGAACGGGUGAGUAAUAUAUCGGAACGUGCCCAGUCGUGGAGGAUAACGUAUCGAAAGCUACGCUAAUACCGCAUACAAUCUAUGGAUGAAAGCGGGGGAUCGCAAGACCUCGCGCGAUUGGAGCGGCCGAUAUCUGAUUAGGUAGUUGGUGAGGUAAAGGCUCACCGAGCCGACUAUCUGUAGCUGGUCUGAGAGGACGACCAGCCACGCUGGGACUGAGACACGGCCCUGACUCCUACGGGAGGCUCCUAUGGGGAAUUUUGGACAAUGGGCGCCAGCCUGAUCCAACAAUGCCACGUGCAAGAUGAACGCCUUCGGGUUGUAAACUGCUUUUGUACGGAACGAAACGGUGAGCUCUAAUACAGUUUGCUAAUGACGGUACCGUAAGAAUAAGCACCGGCUAACUACGUGCCAGCAGCCGCGGUAAUACGUAGGGUGCGAGCGUUAAUCGGAAUUACUGGGCGUAAAGCGUGCGCAGGCGGUGAUGUAAGACAGAUGUGAAAUGCCCGGGCUCAACCUGGGACCUGCAUUUGUGACUGCAUCGCUAAAGUACGGUAUAGGGGGAUGGAAUUCCGCGUGUAACUCUGAGAUGCGUAGAUAUGCGGAUGAACAUCUAUGGCGAAAGCAAUCCCCUAGGCCUGUACUGACGCUCAUGCUCGAAAGCGUGCGCAGCAAACAGGAGUAGAUACACUGGUAGUCCACCCCGCUAAACCAUGUCAACUGCUAGUAGGGUCUUCUCUGACUCGGUAACCAAGCUAUCGCGUGACGUUGACCGCCUGGGGAGCUCCGCCUGCGAGGUUGCAACUCAAAGGAAGUGAC